UACGUAGGGGGCUAGCGUUGUCCGGAAUCAUUGGGCGUAAAGAGCGUGUAGGCGGCUCGGUAAGUCCGCUCUGAAAGCCCGGGGCUCAACCCCGGGAGGCGGGUGGAUACUGCUGAGCUCGAGUCCGGAAGAGGAGUGUGGAAUUCCUGGUGUAGCGGUGAAAUGCGCAGAUAUCAGGAGGAACACCAAUGGCGAAGGCAGCACUCUGGGACGGUACUGACGCUGAGACGCGAAAGCGUGGGGAGCAAAC
rnacentral:rRNA from 1 species